UACGGAGGGUGCAAGCGUUGCUCGGAAUUAUUGGGCGUAAAGGGCAGGUAGGUGGUCUCGUUUGUCUGGGGUGAAAGCCUUGAGCUUAACUCAAGAAGUGCCUCAGAAACGGCGAGACUAGAGUUCUGGAGAGGGUCGUGGAAUUCCCGGUGUAGCGGUGAAAUGCGUAGAGAUCGGGGGGAACACCAGAGGCGAAAGCGGCGACCUGGACAGAUACUGACACUCAACUGCGAAAGCGUGGGGAGCAAACAGG
rnacentral:rRNA from 1 species